GACAGAGGGUGCAAACGUUGUUCGGAAUUACUGGGCGUAAAGCGUGUGUAGGCGGCCUUAUAAGUCGGAUGUGAAAGCCCCGGGCUCAACCCGGAAGUGCACUCGAUACUGUGAGGCUCGAGUAUCGGAGAGGUUGGUGGAAUUCUCGGUGUAGAGGUGAAAUUCGUAGAUAUCGAGAGGAACACCGGUGGCGAAAGCGGCCAACUGGACGAAUACUGACGCUGAGACACGAAAGCGUGGGGAGCAAACAGG
rnacentral:rRNA from 1 species